AGAUGGUAUAAUGAGCUAGACAGCCCAGUAAGUAAUGAACACUCUAGCUAGAUAAAUCAAGCAAUAAUAUGUGGAAAAUAAAUAAAUAUGCAGUUUCAAAAUAUAAGUCAAAUAUUUCUUAAAUUCAUAAGAUUUUUUUCGCGGUUUCAAGAUUCUUUCACAUAUUCAAUUCAUCUUGUCGAUCCUGGACUAUGACCACAUGUUCCCUAUGGCAGGGUCAUCAACACCGACUAAUCUUCUUGCGGUGAGUCCUUCAGGACAGUCAAUUGCCAACGUAUCUGCCCCCAUUGGCAGGGUCCUCAACAUAGCCAAGUCGAAGUUCAGUU
rnacentral:lncRNA from 1 species